AACUACCGACAGCCCGGCAUGCUUACUAGUUACCACCAUCCGAGGAGAUAGAUUCAAAAUCUCCCAAAUCACCUUCGUUCAAAAUCAUGCUUCCUCUCCAUCGUUUUUAACCUUAAAAUACGAAAUAAAAAAACCCUUAACCCUCGUUAGAAAAAAAAAGCCUAAUCCAUUCAAAUCCAUUAGUUUAGAACCAAAUACAAAGAUCUUUAUGUCUAAGCCUUGCGUUUUCAUUUGGCUUUUUUUAUUUAUAGGUUUGAUUUUCUUUGAUUUGUGGGGUUUUUCCUUUUAUUCUCUUGCUUUGGUUUGAUUUUUAUACUUAUUUAUUAUUUUGUAAGAGCUAGUGUAUGUUUAUCUAUGGAUUUCGUUAAAUUUUUGUUUGGACAUUGCCUUAUUAUAGUCUUGAUCCAAUUCCGGGUUCCUUUUCUUCUUUAUCGGUUUCCAUUGAUGUUGCGAUUGGUCACACACGACCGUGUCCUAACAAUUUAGGGUUACACGGUCAAGUCACAAGCCCGUGUCUCGGGGCCGUGUCCUUCACACGGCUGAGACACACAGCCGUGUCUCUACCCAAAUGGCCAAAAAAAUGGCUAUUUAUCAAGCCAUUUGUCACCAUCAUUUAUACACUCACAUACACACUUUCAAUGGCACUUAACAUGGCACAAUUAAGCUAUCAACACAACCAUAAUUAAGGCUUAAAUAAAGAAUUACACGGGUUGAGGACACGGGCGUGUGUAUCCAUACAGCCUACCCAAAUGGGCGUGUGACCCCUAUUUUGAUGAAAAUUUUUUGAGUUUUCCAAAGUUCUCGGUUUAGUCCCGAACCACUUUCAAUGUAUGUUUUGAGCCACGUAAGCCCGUAAUAGGGACGAUAUGCAUGUGAAUGAAAUGUUUUAAAUUUGGAUGAAAAUUCAUGUCUUGGUUUGUAUGAUUGUGUGAGUUUAUGUCCGGUAACGUCUCGUACUCUAUUCCGACAUCGAAUACAGGUAAGGGGUGUUACAGGAACAGAGUUUUGACAUGAAGAGUCCAGCUUCUGAAAACUUUCAAGAUUAUUCUAAACAAUUGGAUUUAGCAGAUCAGGUUCUAGAAAGCCCUAUUCCUAUGUUGUCAUUACAUGCUCUCUAAGGAUUGUAGGGACAUAACACUAGGAGAUUUCCAACUGUAAUUGGUCACACUGAGGUGGUUGUAUUAGUGGACCCCGGCAGCACACACAAUUUUAUAGAUUUUAAGAUGGCUAAAAUAUUAAAUUUGGCAGUAGAAUCGGGGAGUAGAUUGCGAGUGAUGGUGGCCAACGGAGUUCGAUUGUCUACUCAAGUUCUGUGUAGGGCGAUUUUUUGGGAAGCACAAGGUUAUAAUUUCACCAUUAAUUUCUUAAUUUUAUCAGUGAAGGGAUUUGGCUUGGUGCUUGGCAUUCAUUGGUUGUUAUCUCUUAGUCCUAUUGUAUGGAAUUUCUCCAAUUUGACUAUGCAGUUUAAUCAUAUGGGGCAGAACUGCAUCCUGCUAGGUAUAGUACCAGGUUCACUACAUAUUGUUCCCAGUAGUCAACUGUCCAAAUGCCUGAGUUUGGUAGGUAAUGGCCCAUGCCCUAUGCUACUGACUUCUUGUGAUUAAAUUACUCUAACGAUACAGCCAAUUCAGUUGCCACCCAAUUUGCAAAGUCUCCUUAAUCAAUUUGAAGAUAUAUUUCAGACUCCUACAGGCCUACCUCAUCCUCGAUUACAAGACCACAGGAUUCCCUUGAUAGAUGAGUCUAAGGUAGUUAAGGUGAGGCCUUUAGGUAUCCUGCAGUCCAAAAAACUGAAAUAGAGAAAUUGAUACAGGAAAUGUUGCAAGCUGGAAUAAUCAGAGAUAGCAACAGCCCAUUUGCAUCUCCUGUUGUUAUGGUCAAGAAAAAAGAUAGCAGUUGGAGGCUGUAUAUUGACUACAAGCAGCUUAACUAACUGACCAUCAAAGACAGGUUCCCUAUUCCUAUUAUUGAAGAACUUCUAGAUGAUAAUUAUUUCUCCAAAUUGGAUUUGCGUUCGGGCUAUCAUCAAAUUCAAAUGUGGGAGUAGAAUGUGUACAAAACAGCUUUUAAAACUCAUGCUAGCAUUAUGAAUUCUUAGUCAUGCCAUUUGGCUUGACCAAUGCUCCAUCUAGCUUCAAAUCAUUGAUGAAUUCAGUCUUUCAAUCCUUCUUGCGGAGAUCGAUUCUUAUUUUUUUGAUGAUAUCCUUGUGUACUCCCAAAAAUGGACUGACCAUUUGACUCAUUUGCAUGAGGUGCUACAAAUGUUGAGAUCUAAUCAACUUUAAGCUAAGAGAUCCAAGUGCAUUUUUGGAGCUACUCAGGUAGAGUAUCUUGGACAUGUUAUCUCUCAAGGAGUUGUCAGUAUGGAUCGAACCAAUAUGGCUGGUGUUCUGGGUUGGUCCCUCCAAAGUCUGUCUAGGAGUUACGAGGCUUCCUUGGAUUGUUCGGGUAUUACAGACGGUUCAUCAAGGGGUAUGGAUUACUGGCUAAGCCCCCCACUACCUUAUUUAAAAAAGAUGUUACAUGGCAAUGGAUAGUGUUGGAGUAGACUACUUUCGAUUAGCUCAAAACAGUUGUUUGUCAAGCUCCAGUCCUUGCUUGGCCAAAUUUUUAUGAACCUUUUUUUGUGGAAACAAAUGCUAGUGGCCAAGGGGUCGGGGCUAUUUUGCAGUAGAAUGAAAAGCUAGUGGCGUACUUCAGCAAAGCGUUGGAAGUCAAGUAUUAAGCUUUGUCCAUCUAUGACAAAGAGAUGCUUGCAGUGCUGUUAGUAGUUAAGAAAUGGCAUAUCUAUCUUGUUGGUAGACAUUUCUUAAUCAAGACAAAUCGCAGAGCUUGAAAUUUCUAUCCGAACAGUAAGCAAUUACACUUUACCAGCAGAAGUGGGUUGCUAAGAUGCUGGGAUAUGAUUAUUCGAUCUCUAUCGGAAGGGAGCUCAAAAUACAGUUGCAUACGUUUUGUCCAAGAAACCUCAUGACCACAUUCAUCAACUCUUCCAAUGUGAAGGAAGUCUUGACUCUUCUUGGUCUAAGGUAUAUGAAUACAUUAUUGUUUCACAUGCGACAAAUAAGAAGCUACAUCAGUUGUGUCAAGAUGUUCAAACACAACCCCAAUUGCAUCCCAAGUACUCGUGGCAUGGUACAUUCCUUUGCAAGCUAAGCAAAAUUGUGGUAGGGAAUGAUAUCCAGCUUUGAAGACAAAUCUUUGGUCUUUUCCAUGACAGUGCUUUGGGAGGUCAUUCUGGCAUCCAUGCCACUCGUCACAGGAUAUCUGUUUUUCUCUGUUGGAAGGGGGCUCUCUAAAGAUGUUAAGUAUUGGGUACGAGAGUGUGUAGUUUGCUAGCGCUACAAAACUGAUAACUCUGCUUCACUUGGGCUUUUGCAACCCUUACCUAUACCCUAUCGUGCUUGGUAUGAAAUUUGAAUCAGAAUUUCUCAGUAUUCUCUUAUUCUUUUCUCUCUCAAUCUCAGAAUUUCUAUUUCCUUAUUGUUCCAGAUCCAUUACGUGACAAAUUGACAAGGGGUUUUCAAUAUUAAAAGGGUUUAAUGAGUGAAACUCUGACCAAAGCAGUCAAAAUAAAGUAGAUGGGUAGAGAGGGUACCUCAGAAUAAAGUCGAUUGAAGAAGACAUUGGCGUUUUAAGAAGUUCUAGAAUAUUAGGAGAGGUGCCUUUGAUUCUGUCACAAGUUUUUGACAAAAUAAUUGACCAGUCAGGAGAACAGGAACUGCAGGGAUUUGAAUGGAUUUGAAAAGAGCUUCGAUCGUUGAAAUGGCUGGCUUUUAAGUUGGUGUGUCGUUUGGGGUUUUCUUUUUGUUUUUGGAAAUUGUUUAGGUUUUUUUAGGAUUACAUUUUAGCUUCCUCUGUGUGUGUGUGUGUUUUUUUAUUGUUUUCUUUAAU
rnacentral:lncRNA from 1 species